GAUGAACGCUGGCGGCGUGCCUAAUACAUGCAAGUAGAACGCUGAAGGAGGAGCUUGCUCUUCUGGAUGAGUUGCGAACGGGUGAGUAACGCGUAGGUAACCUGCCUGGUAGCGGGGGAUAACUAUUGGAAACGAUAGCUAAUACCGCAUGACAACAGUUAUUGCAUGAUAACGGUUGAAAAGGGGCAACUGCUCCACUACCAGACGGACCUGCGUUGUAUUAGCUAGGUGGUGAGGUAACGGCUCACGAAGGCGAGGAUACAUAGCCGCCCGGAGAUGGGGGUCAGCCGGCCUGGGACUGUGACCGGCCACAGUGUCCUUGGGGUGCCAGCCGUACUGCUUCGUCGGGCAGAGGCGGGAGUUAGACCGAGCUACGCCGAGUGCGUGAAGAAGGUUGUCGGGUCGUAAAGCUCUGUUGUAAGAGAAGAACGAGUGUGAGAGUGGAAAGUUCACACUGUGACGGUAACUUACCAGAAAGCGACGGCUAACUACGUG
rnacentral:rRNA from 1 species